UCCAGACUCCUACGGGAGGCAGCAGUGGGGGAUAUUGCACAAUGGGGGGAACCCUGAUGCAGCGACGCCGCGUGGGUGAAGGAGCGUUUCGGCGCGUAAAGCCCUCUCGGCAGGGAAGAAGGAGGACGGUACCUGACUAAGAAGCCCCGGCUAACUACGUGCCAGCAGCCGCGGUAAUACGUAGGGGGCAAGCGUUAUCCGGAUUUACUGGGUGUAAAGGGGGCGCAGACGGCAGCGCAAGCCAGGAGUGAAAGCCCGGGGCCCAACCCCGGGACUGCUCUUGGAACUGCGCGGCUGGAGUGCAGGAGGGGCAGGCGGAAUUCCUGGUGUAGCGGUGAAAUGCGUAGAUAUCAGGAGGAACACCGGUGGCGAAGGCGGCCUGCUGGACUGCGACUGACGUUGAGGCCCGAAAGCGUGGGGAGCAAACAGGAUUAGAUACCCCGGUAGG
rnacentral:rRNA from 1 species